GGUGCAAUAUUUUUGUAUUGUUACAACCUUAAAUAAAUUCAUCUGUGAAAGAAUAUAGUUCUUUUCUUUAUAAGUAAAUUGUUUUUUCAGUGAAAACUUGUUCAAACAUGAUCAUUUAAUUUCGAAACUUUUAAUAAUUGUCGAUGUAUUAAUAAACCAAAAUGAGUUAUAAGAGUAAUUGGGAUACCAAAUCAAUAAAUCAUUAUAGAACCGUGCAACAGAUAAAAAGGCAACUGCGUCAAGGAAACUCGGCAUAUUUGUGUAACCAUCCGGAAAUCCGAGCUAUAAUACGAGUACUCAUUCAUGAGGCCAUAAAUGAAAAAACAGAAAAUGUUCCUAAAUUUAUUGCCAAUUUAUUCAGUUGUGGGAAUGCGCCUCGUUUGACGAUAAUGUGCACCGUGAAUAGAAACAAAAUGUUCUCGCCGAGUUUGGUGUUCGAAGCUUUGAUACGCAUUAACACUAUUAGAGGGCGAGGUCAUGUCAAUUUUUCACAACCUUUAUAACCACGCUUGCCUCAUUCCACUGACCCUCUGUGUCAGAUUUGUAUUUUGUAACUCAAUUUGUGACUUAUCACAAUUUGACUUUUGUUGGGAGUAGUGAUUACAGAUUACAACUUACCUUUGAUUAUCAAACUAUUAAUGAGCAAAUAAAAGUGGUACAUAAAGAGCUUAAGAAAAGUCGUUACACCGGAUUUGAUCCAGAAGUGAUUCUUGAAGAAAGAGAGUCAACAAAAUCUAUAGUAUCUAAAACAUCCAUACAUGAUAGCGCCAAUGCAAUUUUAAAAUAUGCUCUCGUAUUACCAUUAAACGUAAAAUAAUAUUUAAUUAAAUUUAUUGUAUAAAUUUAAAUUUUAAAUUCCAUUAUACAUAAAAUUUUCAAUGUCACGGUAUUCAAUAUACUUCAUUUAGCUACUGGUCAAUGCUACAUUUGGUUUUGAUGAUUUGUUUUACUUAUUGUGGGAUUUACACAUUAUGCUCGUUAGAACGUUGGGCAGGACGCAAUUAAUAUUCGGUUCAUGGAAGCUCAUAGAGACAUUGUGAAGAGUGACCAAACUAAAGUCGAUGCGCUCUGGAAAGAAUUGGUUAAAGAGCUUAAUGUACUUUUAAAAAGGUUUGGAUGGAUUGGAAGGCUUUCUUCAGGAAAAAAGUUACCCACAACACUCCCGAAGCUAGAGCAACUGGUGGAGGGCCAUUUAAUAAAUACACACUAACCGCAACGGCAGAUACGAUUGCCUAGUUGUGCAGCAUAUACACCGUUGUGGAAAUUUUGAAUUAAAAAGAAGCAAAUGCCAGAGAACAUCUGCACAUACAUACAUUUGCCGUUCCCUUAUGAGGUGGUGAAAAUUUGCUUGGCUCCUUCUUAGAGUGGUGUAGUUUGUUGAGUUCGCUUAUAAAGAAGUACAGUUAACAUUUGUGCCUUCUCUAUUCAUUAACAUUCUCUGACAUAAUCUUUGCUUGAAAAUUGGUUUACCUAUUAUUUAUUAUUCAGCGUAAUUUCAAACCACCUCAUUUAUGCCACGUAACACGUUUAGUAAUCAAAAAGAUUACAAGAAAUAUUAUUGUAGCAACCAAUUCGACUGAAAAAAUUAAUGGAGAAAUUGUCCCAUUGCCGCGUUGUGCAAUGAUACUGUUAAAAUGUACGUUACGAAUAGGACUGAAUUAAAUUAAAUUUGUAAAUGUUUUUAAUAAAAAUGUUAAAUAUUAUUGUUGAAAAUUAA